rnacentral:miRNA from 1 species
AAAACCUGAACAAACUUUUUGGA